rnacentral:rRNA from 1 species
UACGUAGGGUGCAAGCGUUGUCCGGAAUUAUUGGGCGUAAAGAGCUCGUAGGCGGUCUGUCGCGUCGGCUGUGAAAUCCCGGAGCUCAACUCCGGGUCUGCAGUCGAUACGGGCAAACUGGAGUACUGCAGGGGAGACUGGAAUUCCUGGUGUAGCGGUGAAAUGCGCAGAUAUCAGGAGGAACACCGGUGGCGAAGGCGGGUCUCUGGGCAGUUACUGACGCUGAGGAGCGAAAGCAUGGGGAGCGAACAGG